rnacentral:rRNA from 1 species
UACAGAGGGUGCGAGCGUUGUCCGGAAUCACUGGGCGUAAAGGGCGCGUAGGCGGCUUGAUAAGUAGGGGGUGAAAUCUUGCGGCUCAACUGCAAGGCUGCCUCCUAAACUGACAGGCUUGAGCACAGUAGAGGCAGGUGGAAUUCCCGGUGUAGCGGUGGAAUGCGUAGAGAUCGGGAGGAACACCUAUAGCGAAGGCAGCUUGCUGGGACGUUACUGACGCUAAGGCGCGAAAGCGUGGGGAGCGAACAGG